UUUUCAGGGUAUAAAAUUAAGGUGGGAAGGUAGAAGCAUAAGGAUAUCAUUAACACAAUAUUCUUACAUCAAGACCUAAAGCUAUAUAUCAUGGGGAAUUAAAAGCUAUAUAUCAUGGGGAAUUUUCAUUUCUGGAAUUCGUUAGAGCCUUAGUUUCAAAAACUGACAUUUUCAUUUAGGAAACAGGGUUUUAUAAAUUUAAUUCCUUAAAAGUAAAGAAAAAAAAAACCUGUAAGGCAUUUAUGUGACUAGUCUUUGCCCCUCUUUCUAUGUGCAUAUAGAAAUAAGAAUGAAGAAUUUAUUACUUAUAAAGAAGGUGUCACCUCAGUUGCAUCUAGCAAUUCCUCUAUCUACCAGAACAUAAUCAAGAAUUAACAGGAAACAGCAUUCAUCAGAGAAGUGGAACACAGUUUAGGGCCUAAGAGGCUGCAGCCUAACAAUAAUCAGGACCCAAGAGUUCCUCAACACGUACCUAAAAAUACUCCCAUGCCUAUCUCCUACCUCCUUCUCUUGAAUUAACUGGGACUUGCAGUGAUUAAGGACUUUCUUUUCAUUUUACCGUAUUUACUAAUAAGUUUACAACUUGAGAGAAAAUGCACUGCUUUUCACUGCACACAUGACAAGCACAAAUACUGACAUUGAAGUCAUACGUACC
rnacentral:lncRNA from 1 species